GCAAACACUGAAUGGAGAAAUGAAAAGACAAAAUUCAGCGAAGGAGCACCCAGGAUGAGAAUGAAUACUUGAAACUAGCUCUGGGAGAAAUAUGGGCACUAUAGAGUGUGCUGCUUUCACUUAGUGUGAUCCAAUGUGACUGCCCAGAGCCCUCAGCACUCAGUCCAUUAUGGGCACAUUAUGAUCCAUAACCUUCAAUGCUCAGAGCAUUAUGAUCAAGGCUACGUGGAGCAUGGAUGUGAAGAUUGCCAAAGACUAAGACGAUUUCAGCUCCUGUUUGUAGAAAAGACAGGCUGAUCUCCACUGGGAUGUGCCUAGACUAUGGAAUUCACUCCCCAGGGAUAUCCAGCCAGUGCCUACUCUUCUUUCUUUCAGGUGCCAGGUACAAAAUGCCUGAAGUGACUGAACCGAAGCCCUGGAAGAGGCCAUCUCUGGUUAGUAGGCAAAGGCCUAUUAUGUUCAAAGGAAGAAAAGAAAGCAAUCAUCUGGCUGCAAGAGAAGGGAAAAGGAAUGACUGAGAAGGAGUUAGGAGCAGAGACAUGUCCAGCCCCCAUUCUGCUCCUGAUCCAUCUUGUAUAGCAGGGGUCUCAAACUCAACUUACCUGGGGGCCGCUGGAAGUAGAGUCUGGGUGAGGCUGGGCCACAUCAAGUAUUCCACCACUGCGGUGGUGGUGGGCCGCUCAUCCGGAGGCCGGCCUGGGUGCCACCGGUGCUUUGAAGGCUGCAGGGCCCCUCCCCUGUUCCCCGCCCAUCCCCGCAAUUGGCCUGCGGGCUGCGAGUUUGAGACCCCUGCUGUAUAGGAUCCAAAUUGCACUGGACCCAAAUUUACUGGACCCAUUCUGAAUCAAGUGCUUGCCAGUUAUGAACUCCCACAUGGGAGGGAUCUAUACUUCAGAUUUUGACAGUUGCCCUAAUGCAUGGCUCAUGAGGAUGUCCGACGACACUCACCCUAAAUGGACCUCACAUGGUUUCUACUACUAUAUCCUACAUGUUUAUACCCUGCAUGUUUUUCUGCAGUAUCUAUUUUGAAAGAAAGCGGUUGGGUAGAGGGGUGGGGAGUGGCACUGCAAUGAGGACAUGUCCUAUUUAGCCUUUUAUUUUUUAAGGAUUUGCUCAUGAGCAUGUGCAGAAGGGGGAAUCCAUGACUAAUUCAGACAUCUCACAUUGCUUCAAGUGUCUGGUGAGGAAGGCUGCUUAAGGCUGUGCUAGCAGGGUCUAGUAAAUAGAUACUGCAGAAUAGCAGCAUCUCCAAUGAGGAGGCAAGCCAAGUCAGCCCUGAGUUGUUUUCCUUCUUCCCUCACUGUCCACACAAUGGCUUACCCCUUGCCAAGUGAACUGGAGAAUAAAUGCAAUGCUUUCACUCUUCCUUCCUCUGUCAUAUUCUUUGAAAAAAUAAAGUUUGGAAUGUA